AGUGAACGCUGGCGGUAGGCCUAACACAUGCAAGUCGAACGGCAGCACAGUAAGAGCUUGCUCUUACGGGUGGCGAGUGGCGGACGGGUGAGGAAUACAUCGGAAUCUACUUUUUCGUGGGGGGUAACGUAGGGAAACUUACGCUAAUACCGCAUACGACCUACGGGUGAAAGCAGGGGAUCUUCGGACCUUGCGCGAUUGAAUGAGCCGAUGUCGGAUUAGCUAGUUGGCGGGGUAAAGGCCCACCAAGGCGACGAUCCGUACCUGGUCUGAGAGGAUGAUCAGCCACACUGGAACUGAGACACGGUCCAGACUCCUACGGGAGGCAGCAGUGGGGAAUAUUGGACAAUGGGCGCAAGCCUGAUCCAGCCAUACCGCGUGGGUGAAGAAGGCCUUCGGGUUGUAAAGCCCUUUUGUUGGGAAAGAAAAGCAGCAGGUUAAUACCCCGCUGUUCUGACGGUACCCAAAGAAUAAGCACCGGCUAACUUCGUG
rnacentral:rRNA from 1 species